UACGGGGGGGGCAAGCGUUGUUCGGAAUUACUGGGCGUAAAGGGCUCGUAGGUGGCCAACUAAGUCAGACGUGAAAUCCCUCGGCUUAACCGGGGAACUGCGUCUGAUACUGGAUGGCUUGAGUUUGGGAGAGGAAUGCGGAAUUCCAGGUGUAGCGGUGAAAUGCGUAGAUAUCUGGAGGAACACCGGUGGCGAAGGCGGCAUUCUGGACCAAUACUGACGCUGAGGAGCGAAAAGCCAGGGGAGCAAACGGG
rnacentral:rRNA from 1 species